rnacentral:lncRNA from 1 species
GCUCAUCUAACGAAGUGAUUUAAUGAAUUCUAACACUUAUUUAACUUUCCAAAUACUUCUCUCCAAUUGGCUUAGUACUCACGUGCGCCGCACGUGUAAGUUAUAACCCAAGGUGAACCCCUCUUGCUUCCAGGCAAGAGAAAGCUACAUCUGGUACACUUAAAUAAAUAUACCUACAGUGUAUUGACGUGACAACUAUACUAGGCAUAGUACGGUGUUGUCCCCGAAAGCGGGUCCACAGAAAAUCAAUACAUCAAACCUUGGAUGGAGAUCAAACGGCCGUGGAGUGAUUGGAAGCUAAUGGAGUAGGGAUCCAGUCGCCAUCGCGUGGGGGGUCAGGGGCCCUCACCAGGGCACGUGACGGACGGCAGUACGCUGGUGUCCGCUUGGCUUUCUGCCUCGAUUUGAAUGGCUUUUUUAAGAGUUUUGGUAC